rnacentral:tRNA from 1 species
GGGGAUGUAGCUCAGUGGUAGAGCGCUCGCUUUGCAUGCGAGAGGCCCCGGGUUCCACCCCCGGCAUCUCCA